AAGGCUAUGUGUAACUGGCGAAACGCGGAUCACCGCGAGGGAGCACGUAGUGUCGUAGCCGUUCGCCUGGGCAGAGGUA
rnacentral:ncRNA from 2 species